CCUGACCUCGAUUCGAGCGUGAUUA
rnacentral:rRNA from 3 species